UUGUGGGUAGCUUAAUUAUUUGUAAAGCUCUGGAUUCUUACUCUGGUGAUGUCUUUUGACCCCAUGAG
rnacentral:tRNA from 1 species